ensembl:lncRNA
UAAUGUCCAAUAAUAUUUAAAAUUUACAUAUCUUUAUUGUAUGAAAAUGAUUGACAUCAACUAGUUACUACUUAAUGUGAAUAUGUUUGAGUGGAAUACAAAAAUGGCAGCAGUACCGCAAAAUGCAUUUAGUUUUGUUUCUUCAAUGUGACUGUUUACAUUGAAAAAUCACACCCCAACAUAUAAUGCCAUAUAAUGGCAAUAUUAUUACCCUAUAGAUAUAUAUAUAUCUUAAUCAUGAUGAUCAAAUUCCCAGUGCCUUUCACAUAGGCACAUUGACACCAAGGGUGUCUUAUUUAAAGCAAUGGAGGACCCUGCACAUCGAAAAAUUAUGUUAUGGGGUACCCUGUGCGUCUAAAAGUGACGCCAAAGGGUCCUGACCGAGCAUUAAUAUGUGAUGAGUUGGGAGUGAGAAUGUGUUGAAAAUACUGUCUUAAUCCAAAUCUACAAAUGUCAAACAUUGUAUUUUAGGUCUGGAGAAAUCUAUAGUCCCUUUUUUUAUAUGAGCUUAAAAACAUAUUUACAGUAUUUCAGUCUUCACAUCUAACUCUCUGUGUCAUUGAGAUCAGACAGGUCAGGGAGUGGAAGAAAUUAAUUCAUGAAUAUAUUAGUCUGUUUGAGCUCAUUAAAACGAAGAAAUGCUAAUUUAUGAUGGGUGAAGGUUUAUUUAUAGCCCAAGAGUGGUGUAAGCACAUCUCUUAAGAUGUCUAAGUGAAGGAUAGGGAUCUUAUGUCAUCUCAUUGCGAGCAAUAUGUGUCUGAUUGGCCAUAGCAAAACCCUAGACAGAUGGCCCAUUCUGGUAUUUAGAGUUUAAGGCCCUGCUGUGAAACUGUUUGCUUGGAGAACUCUGGUUUAAUUCCUCCAACGUGGACACAAGAGGAAUUGUAUUUGUCCGAUGUGGACUCAAGAGGGAAAUAAAGAAAAUAAUUGGAUUUUUGGUUUCCAAACAAGAAGCACAACUUCAGCUGAGCAAGACAAAUCCGACCUAUCCCGGAGCUCAUGGGACAGUCAACUAAACUGUUAUAGCCAGGAGUUUAUUUUCAACCCAAAGACAGGAAGGUAACCAAAUCACGGCCUGAAUGUCAACGUUAAACCUCAAGAGGAAAGACACCUUACGAAGGAGGUUAAACGUUUGAGGUGACGUCAAUUGUGAGUUUGGACGAUACGUUUCACAGCUAUUCAUACUGUAUGAGACAGAAAAUAAGGUAUAUUAAAAUGGUUAACUCUGUAACUAUGGCUGUUCUUGCCAAGGACAAUAACUGUAAAGUUGUAAUAAUCAUUCUAAAUGUUUAAGAAUAAGGAAGUCCACACCACAACUUUAAAUAACUACAUAAAGGAACUAUUUUAUUGGAAUCACUUGCAGAUGAAUGAUAAAACAUUAACUGCCAAUCAGAAUCCACCUGACUUUAAAGAGCUUGAACGUUUAAAGUAACAGAUGACAAAACUGCAGCACGCUUAUAACAAAUAGAACGUUAUUGUGCAUUAGUGUGGACGCUAAUAUGAUUGCAGUCAUCGUUCUUGGUAUGAAUGGGCCUCGACCAUAUCGUAAUUGUAGUUAGAAGCUCAUUUUUCAACAUAGACAGUAGUCUUAUUUGUUAAGAUUACUAGUAAACAAACACAUGGGUGGCCAUGAACUUGCAAAUUUAGGAUUAAAGCA